ACUACAACGGGUGGAGCCUGCGGUUUAAUUGGAUCAACGCCGGAAAUCUCACCGGGGCGACAGCAAUAUGAAGGUCAGGCUGAAGACCUUACCCGAUUAGCUGAGAGGUGGUGCAUGGCCGUCGUCAGUUCGUACUGUGAAGCAUCCUGUUAAGUCAGGCAACGAGCGAGACCCACGUCCACAGUUGCCAGCAUACCCUCCGGGGUGAUGGGUACACUGUGGAGACCGCCGCUGCUAAAGCGGAGGAAGGAGUGGGCAACGGUAGGUCAGUAUGCCCCGAAUCUCCCGGGCUACACGCGGGCUACAAUGGUUGGUACAAUGGGCAUCUACCCCGAAAGGGGAAGGAAAUCUCUUAAAAGCCAAUCGUAGUUCGGAUUGAGGGCUGCAACUCGCCCUCAUGAAGCUGGAAUCCGUAGUAAUCGCGUUUCAACAGAACGCGGUGAAUACGUCCCUGCUCCUU
rnacentral:rRNA from 1 species